UUUUUACAACGAAGAGUUUGAUCCUGGCUCAGGAUGAACGCUAGCGGCGGGCUUAACACAUGCAAGUCGAGGGGCAGCAUGAAAUUUAUUUAUUUAGAUUUUGAUGGCGACCGGCGGACGGGUGCGUAACACGUAUGUAACCUACCUUUUUCUAGAAAAUAGCCUGAGGAAACUCGGAUUAAUAUUCUAUAAUACAAUAUUUUCGCAUGAAAAUAUUAUUAAAGUAAAAAUGCGGAAAAAGAUGGGCAUGCGCCCGAUUAGUUAGUUGGUGGGGUAAAGGCCUACCAAGACGAUGAUCGGUAGGGGGCCUGAGAGGGUGAUCCCCCACACUGGUACUGAGAUACGGACCAGACUCCUACGGGAGGCAGCAGUGAGGAAUAUUGGUCAAUGGAGGAAACUCUGAACCAGCCACGCCGCGUGCAGGAAGAAUGCCUUAUGGGUUGUAAACUGCUUUUGUUUAGGAAUAAAAAUUUCUACGUGAUAGAAAUUGUGAAGGUACUAGACGAAUAAGUGUCGGCAAACUCCGUGCCAGCAGCCGCGGUAAUACGGAGGACACAAGCGUUAUCCGGAUUUAUUGGGUUUAAAGAGUGCGUAGGCGGUUUAUUAAGUCAGUAGUGAAAUGUUACAGCUUAACUGUUAAAAUGGCUAAUGAUACUGAUAGACUUGAGUGAGAUUGGAGUAACUGGAAUGUGUGGUGUAGCGGUGAAAUGCAUAGAGAUCACACAGAACACCGAUCGCGAAAGCAGGUUACUAAAUCUAUACUGACGCUGAGGCACGAAAGCGUGGGGAGCAAACAGGAUUAGAUACCCUGGUAGUCCACGCCGUAAACGAUGAUCACUAGUCGUUGGAUUUUAUUAUUCAGUGGCUAAGCGAAAGUGAUAAGUGAUCCACCUGGGGAGUACGACCGCAAGGUUGAAACUCAAAGGAAUUGACGGGGGCCCGCACAAGCGGUGGAGCAUGUGGUUUAAUUCGAUGAUACGCGAGGAACCUUACCAAGGUUUAAAUGUACUACGAAUAAACUAGAAAUAGUUUAGUCUUCGGACGGAGUACAAGAUGCUGCAUGGUUGUCGUCAGCUCGUGCCGUGAGGUGUUGGGUUAAGUCCCUCAACGAGCGCAACCCUCAUUGUUAGUUGCCAACGAAUAAUGUCGGGGACUCUAGCAAGACUGCCGACGUAAGUCGAGAGGAAGGUGGGGACGACGUCAAAUCAUCACGGCUCUUAUACCUUGGGCUACACACGUGCUACAAUGGUCGGUACAAAGGGUUGCUAUUGAGUGAUCAUAAGCUAAUCUCUAAAAACCGAUCUCAGUUCGGAUUGGAGUCUGCAACUCGACUCUAUGAAGUUGGAAUCGCUAGUAAUCGCAUAUCAGCCAUGAUGCGGUGAAUACGUUCCCGGGCCUUGUACACACCGCCCGUCAAGCCAUGGAAGUCGGGGGGACCUGAAAUCGGUGACCAUAAAAGGAACUGCUUAAGGUAAAAUCGAUAACUGGGGCUAAGUCGUAACAAGGUAGCCGUACCGGAAGGUGUGGCUGGAACAUCUCUUUU
rnacentral:rRNA from 1 species